CAGCAGCCACGGUAAUACGGAGGGGGCUAGCGUUGUUCGGAAUUACUGGGCGUAAAGCGCACGUAGGCGGCUUGGUAAGUUAGAGGUGAAAGCCCGGAGCUCAACUCCGGAAUUGCCUUUAAGACUGCCGAGCUAGUAGGUGAGAGAGGUAAGUGGAAUUCCGAGUGUAGAGGUGAAAUUCGUAGAUAUUCGGAAGAACACCAGUGGCGAAGGCGGCUUACUGGCUCAUUCUAGACGCUGAGGUGCGAAAGCGUGGGGAGCAAACAGGAUUAGAUACCCGAGUCCCUGUCUCUUAUACACC
rnacentral:rRNA from 1 species